CACUUGUGCAAGGAUUUUUGGGGCGCACCGCUCAGAACACACACGGGGCCUGCAGUGAGCUGCUGGGUGUGCAAGGUGGCUUGUGCGUGUGCAAGCCAACAUUGUGCGUGUGCAAGGUGGCUUGUGUGUGUGCAAGGCUGAGUGUGCAAGGGGUUUUGCACGAGGGCGGGCUCACGGUUUGGCGCCGAGAGGUAUCGGCGGUGCGGGAGGGUCCGAUUUUGGGGCAGUUUCAGGGUGGUUUGGUGCAAAGGCUUUGGGGGUGUGCAAGAGGACACUUGUGCAAGGAUGUUUGGGGGUGUGCAAGGUGAAUCACUUUCACAAGGGGCGUGCAAAGGCAUUUGGGGUGUGCAAGAAGACACUUGUGCAAGGACAUUUAAGGUGUGCAAGGCAAGUCACUUUUACAAGGGACGUGUAAAGGCAGAGGUGUGCAAGAAGACACUUGUGCAAGGACAUUUGAGGUGUGCAAGGUGAAUCGCUUUCACAAGAGGCGUGCAAAGGCAUUUGGGGUGUGCAAGCAGACACUUGUGCAAGGAUUUUUGGGGCGCACCGCUCAGAACACACACGGGGCCUGCAGUGAGCUGCUGGGUGUGCAAGGUGGCUUGUGCGUGUGCAAGCCAACAUUGUGCGUGUGCAAGGUGGCUUGUGUGUGUGCAAGGCUGAGUGUGCAAGGGGUUUUGCACGAGGGCGGGCUCACGGUUUGGCGCCGAGAGGUAUCGGCGGUGCGGGAGGGUCCGAUUUUGGGGCAGUUUCAGGGUGGUUUGGUGCAAAGGCUUUGGGGGUGUGCAAGAGGACACUUGUGCAAGGAUGUUUGGGGGUGUGCAAGGUGAAUCACUUUCACAAGGGGCGUGCAAAGGCAUUUGGGGUGUGCAAGAAGACACUUGUGCAAGGACAUUUAAGGUGUGCAAGG
rnacentral:lncRNA from 1 species